AGAGUUUGAUCAUGGCUCAGGACGAACGCUGGCGGCGUGCUUAACACAUGCAAGUCAAGGAGAAAGGGAUUCUUCGGAUUCCUGAGUAAACUGGCGGAUGGGUGAGUAACACGUAGGUAAUCUGCCUUUCGGACCGGGAUAACACGGCUAACGCGGUGCUAAUACCGGAUGUAGCGUUUGGAUCGCCUGAUUUGGGCGUGAAAGGUUGGCUUUUGCUAACGCCGAGAGAUGAGCCUGCGUCCCAUUAGCUAGUUGGUGAGGUAACGGCUCACCAAGGCAACGAUGGGUAGCCGGCCUGAGAGGGUGAACGGCCACACUGGGACUGAGAUACGGCCCAGACUCCUACGGGAGGCAGCAGUGAGGAAUAUUGCGCAAUGGACGAAAGUCUGACGCAGCAACGCCGCGUGAGGGAUGAAGCUCUUAGGAGUGUAAACCUUUUUUAGGAGGGAAGAACGGGUAGCAUUCGAACAGGGUGUUACUGUGACGGUACCUCCAGAAUAAGCCCCGGCUAACUCCGUGCCAGCAGCCGCGGUAAUACGGGGGGGGCUAGCGUUGUCCGGAAUUAUUGGGCGUAAAGGGCGCGUAGGCGGGAUAGUCAGUCUGAGGUGAAAGCCCAGGGCUUAACUCUGGGUUUGCCUUGGAUACUGCUAUUCUGAGU
rnacentral:rRNA from 1 species